rnacentral:rRNA from 1 species
AGAGUUUGAUCCUGGCUCAGAUUGAACGCUGGCGGCAUGCCUUACACAUGCAAGUCGAACGGCAGCACGGGGGCAACCCUGGUGGCGAGUGGCGAACGGGUGAGUAAUAUAUCGGAACGUGCCCUGGAGUGGGGGAUAACUAGUCGAAAGACUAGCUAAUACCGCAUACGAUCUAUGGAUGAAAGUGGGGGAUCGCAAGACCUCAUGCUCGUGGAGCGGCCGAUAUCUGAUUAGCUAGUUGGUAGGGUAAAAGCCUACCAAGGCAUCGAUCAGUAGCUGGUCUGAGAGGACGACCAGCCACACUGGGACUGAGACACGGCCCAGACUCCUACGGGACGCAGCAG